rnacentral:rRNA from 1 species
AGCUCCAAUAGCGUAUAUUGAAGUUGUUGCAGUUAAAAAGCUCGUAGUUGGAUUUCUGAUGGGAGGGACUAGUCCAGCACUCUGUGUGGGAAAUUGUGUCCUCUUCGGACAUCCUUGGGUGGGUCUUGUCUGGUAUUAAGCUGUCAGUCAAGGGAUGCCCAUUGUUUACAAUGAAAAAAUUAGAGUGUUCAAAGCAAGCUUAUGCCAUUGAAUACAUUAGCAUGGAAUAAUAAGAUAGAGUCCUGGUACUAUUUUGUUGGUUUGCGUACCGAGGUAAUGAUUAAUAGGGACAGUUGGGGGUAUUUGUAUUCAGUAUUCAGUGGUUAAAUACUUAGACCUACGGAGGAUAAACUACUGCAACAUUAUUUACCAAGUAUGUUUUCA